UGGGGGGGGGGGGCGAAAGAAAGACUGUGCCGCUGGUCAAUGUGUAGGCUACCCGGUCACGUGGCUUACUUACAAUUGACCAACCAGAGACAGGUCUACAUGAUAGGCUACAGCCUAUUGCAUCAUUAAGAAAAAUAGCGCCAGAACCAAACACCAUGACCAUCCCAUUCCAGUCAUAGUACUCAUAGAUCUACUUCAAGAUUGUGUUGAUUUGUGAUUAACUCGACUCUAUUCUAACAACUUUGGAAUGUGUGCGUCAAGCAAAGACUCUCGGAACCAAAGAGUGAAAGAAUGAUGGCAUCACUAUGAUCACUUCUUGCUUGAUCUGUCCAAGAGUCAAUGAGUACAGGUGGACCAUGUUGGAAAAUAACUUUCAGUCAAGACUCAAGUUGAGACAAGAGCUCCAUUGAUGUUAUUGAUCAAACUGAACAUGUUCUAGAGAUACUGGAGAAAAGAUUUGAGUGCAGUACAGACUCAUUUUCAAUUGAAAGCAAUUAAAAGAAGCAGAGAUAAAUACAAUCAGGAUUAGGUAUGAAGCAAAUUUCCCAAUGGCAAAUAAUGUAUCACUGUUGGAAAUAGAAGUGAAACUGAAGGAUGAAGAUUCUCAUGAAAAUUUGAUCUAUCCAGUGAAAACAGCAUUAAGAGAACAAUAGUAUGGAUUAUAACUUGGCUGGACUGGACAUGGCACAAACAGAAAAUAAAUGUAUUGAAUUUUCAAUCCAAAUUAUGGAUAUUAGAUUAUUCAAGUGAGUUACCCAAGUCUGUCAAAUAACUUAGAGAAAGUACUUGAACUUGGCACAUGUGAUGGCACAGAAAUCGUAAAAAAAGAAGGAUGAUGGCUUCAACUCUGAAGGAACAUCCCAAUCAUGUAUAACAUUUUACAAACAAACCUAAUCAAAGUUUAUAAAUGUUUAAAAAAAGUAAGAUGCACAAGCAAAUUUAUUUACAUACUACAGAUAUUAGAACUAAUGACUAAUGGAAAAAAAACAACUACCUAUCUAGACUUAACAACAAAGAAAUAAGUAAAUAUAAUAUUUCAAACAUGUGCUGGAUCUUGUUAACCAUUAGCCAAAGAAACUGAUGGCCUUAACAUCAUCUGCCCUAUAGAUGCUAAGUUUGAAAAGGGGAACUUUACUUUUAUUACAACAUAAGGUUAUAAGUUGACAGUUACAGAUGAUGUACCAUAUGAGCAUCAUUGUUGUUUACUGGCUUUUGAACAGUAGCUUGAAACAUUUGCUCUUUCUUACAUAGAAUAUUCACUGUUAUGAAUAUGAUA